CAGCCAAAGAAAGGUGAGGGGACAGGCGGCAAGGAAAGGUAGAGGGGACCAGGCGGCCUCAGCCAAAGGAAAGGUGAGGGGACCAGGCGGCAAGGAAAGGUGAGGGGACCAGGCGGCCUCAGCCAAAGGAAAAGGUGAGGGGACCAAGGCGGCCUCAGCAAAGGAAAGGUGAGGGGACCAGGCGGCAGGAAAGGGUGAGGGGACCAGGCGGCAAGGAAAGGUGAGGGGACCAGGCGGCAAGGAAAGGUGAGGGGACCAGGCGGCCUCAGCCAAAGGAAAGGUGAGGGACCAGGCGGCUCAGCCAA